AUGCUCUCUAUUUCGCCAGAUGGCACCUGUCCUUGAAGAAGCCAUUCAUUGCCUAAAAGGAAGCGAGUAAUGGAGCAUUAAUUCUGUCUGGCAUCUCUAAAGAAGAAAAUGUGGCUUCAGGCUUAGUAACUGGAUUAUUCACAUACCUUCGGCUGUUAGAAACCAGCAACUGGGUGCCCCUUCAGUGAGCUUUGUUCCUGACGGGAGGUCUAAUCUCAG